UCUUUUCCUUCUUUUCCAGCAGCCGCGGUAAUACGUAUGGUGCAAGCGUUAUCCGGAUUUACUGGGUGUAAAGGGAGCGUAGACGGAGUGGCAAGUCUGAUGUGAAAACCCGGGGCUCAACCCCGGGACUGCAUUGGAAACUGUCAAUCUAGAGUACCGGAGAGGUAAGCGGAAUUCCUAGUGUAGCGGUGAAAUGCGUAGAUAUUAGGAGGAACACCAGUGGCGAAGGCGGCUUACUGGACGGUAACUGACGUUGAGGCUCGAAAGCGUGGGGAGCAAACAGG
rnacentral:rRNA from 1 species